CACUGAACGACCCUGGUCCGAGAUGUCAGUGACAACAGCCUCACACUGACAUUGACGCUUGGUGACGUUGUAUCCACACGACACUAUGUAAAGGGGGAAUAAAGGGAAACCUCAGUCACAACCCAUCCUCAUCAAUGGUUAUGUACAUUUCCAAUGGAUUUUCUGUGGUGUUCUUCUGUUUCAUUUGCACCGUUCCUCAAACACUGAAUAAAAUUCCAACUUCAUACCUCCAGAUGUCUGUAUUAGAGCUCAUAUACUGGGUGUGUGAUAUGCUUCUUCAGUCAGUGUUAUGGCAUAUGCCUUUGGUCUACAAUAAAUGACAUUUGCUCCAAA